UUUUAUUUUAUCAUUUAUUGAUUUGUUUUUAUGUUUACUGUCUUUUCUAGGACUGUGAAAAAUAUGUUGCCCAGGCAAUAGAAUUAUUUAUAAGAUUUAGUAAACUAGUCAAAGAAGCAUUUAAUGAUGACUCUAGGUUCACAGCAUCAAGAGAUAAGGCCUUUAAGCAAGUUAUCAAUGAUUCAUCCAUUUUCAGUUUAGGAAUAACU